rnacentral:rRNA from 1 species
AACGAACGCUGGCGGCAUGCCUAGCACAUGCAAGUCGAACGAGACCUUCGGGUCUAGUGGCGCACGGGUGCGUAACGCGUGGGAACCUGCCCUUAGGUUCGGAAUAACUCCCCGAAAGGGGUGCUAAUACCGGAUAAUGUCUUCGGACCAAAGAUUUAUCGCCUUUGGAUGGGCCCGCGUUGGAUUAGCUAGUUGGUAGGGUAAAAGCCUACCAAGGCGACGAUCCAUAGCUGGUCUGAGAGGAUGAUCAGCCACACUGGGACUGAGACACGGCCCAGACUCCUACGGGAGGCAGCAGUGGGGAAUAUUGGACAAUGGGCUAAAGCCUGAUCCAGCAAUGCCGCGUGAGUGAUGAAGGCCUUAGGGUUGUAAAGCUCUUUUACCCGGGAUGAUAAUGACAGUACCGGGAGAAUAAGCUCCGGCUAACUCCGUG